rnacentral:rRNA from 1 species
AACGAACGCUGGCGGCAUGCCUAACACAUGCAAGUCGAACGAGACCUUCGGGUCUAGUGGCGCACGGGUGCGUAACGCGUGGGAACCUGCCCUUAGGUUCGGAAUAACUCCCCGAAAGGGGUGCUAAUACCGGAUAAUGUCUUCGGACCAAAGAUUUAUCGCCUUUGGAUGGGCCCGCGUUGGAUUAGCUAGUUGGUAGGGUAAAAGCCUACCAAGGCGACGAUCCAUAGCUGGUCUGAGAGGAUGAUCAGCCACACUGGGACUGAGACACGGCCCAGACUCGUAGGGGAGGUAGGAGUGGAAAUGAUGGGAGAAGGGGAGAAAGCGGGAGCCGACAGGGCGGGGUGGGUGAUGAUGGCAGGAGGGUUGAACAGCUUUUGUACGCGGGAUAAGAAUGACGGAAGGGGGAGAACAAGCGCCUGCCAACCCCGGGCCAGCGGCCGGGGUAAUAACGGGAGGCGCACCCGUCUGAAC